AACCACUUUACCCUUUCAUCAGUUACGCUCCUCCUUUCAAUUCAUCGAUUACGUACCCUCCUCCGAUCUUCCGUUACCUCCACCAACUUUUAAAGAUGAAUUCAAUUCACCACUUCAUUCGUUACCCUUCUUCUCAGCCCAAUCUUCUCAGUUCUUCAGUUACGCAGUCCCACGAUCUUAAGCCAUCAAUUUCCAAAGAUGAUUGUUAUUACCCUAAUCAUCAACUCAACUCCUCUCAAGCCUCGUCUCCUCCUUCUCAUUCUGUAAUUUCUUUAAGCAAUGGAGAAAGUCACUGAUUCCGCAAAGCCCUAAUCCGAUCAUGCUACGAUUUAGAAUAGAUAAACCGCCUGAAAUAGUUCUAUGCUGCAGAUAGACUCAAUGAAAGGAAAUAUAUUGUUGUAGAUAGACUCCUUGAAGCGGGUAAAAGAUUCACUUAGGGGGUUUAUCUGCUACCAUAGAAUUAUAUAGGUAGUAAUUCUAUUUGGCAAUAGUGUAGAGGGUCUAUCUGCUACUAACCCUAUUUAUUUUCAAAUUAGCUAUCCUUUAGCUUGAGGUGCUGAAACUUUGCACGCUAUAUUUUGUAUAAUCCUUCAGUUGUUUCCUAGCCUUAAAAAGAUAGUAUUACUCUCAAUGAUGACAUUGUUGUUCAAGCAGAGCUGUCACCCUUAUACAUUGAUCUCCAAGGCAUGGUGAACGGUGCAAUAGAGACAUGCAGAGGUCAAGGAUUGUCCGAAUUAAGGCUUGCUUCAAGUCUUCAUCUUUCUCCUGUGUCAGUUUCAUCAGUUUAUUAUCGACAACAAAGUGCUUCCUUGCCUUCUUCAACUACUCACGCAUAAUUACAAAAAGAGCAUUAAAAAAGAAGCUUGCCGGACGCUCUCAAAUAUUACUGCUGGAACUAGAACUCAGAUCCAGUUUUUCAAUAUGCAUCACGUGCAGAAGUGACUUGCCCUCGAUGAAACCCCUGAUGCCUCUAAGGACUCAGCAUUGGACAAAAUUCCUCUUAUUCAUUCUAUGUCUAUAAAGGAUCAGAAGAUUCUGAUAAACUGUGGCAGAGGCCAGUUCGAAUCUUCAACACCUAGCAUGUUUUUCCUCAAUGUAUCUUCAUUUAAAAUGAGGUGCUCCUGGCCGGACAAGAGGACUAAUUAUCUCUGCAAUCAACUCAUCGACAAAUAAUAUUAAUGGGUUCAAACAACUUCAACAAUCCAUACAUCAAGCAAUUGGAGAAAGAUGUCUGCAUUAUCACUGACAUGUUAUUGAUUUUGUACUACGACAUAAGAGAUGAAACAGAGUAGUGUUUGAACACCAAGAGAGCUAGCAUGUUAAGUUGUAGUUGAGACAUGGUUAUGGUUCAUUCGUUGCUAUUAGAUAAAUCAUUAUGUUCUGUGAUCUAAGUGAAAUGAGAUUGCAAAAAAUUGUUUCAUGGGUGGUGAUGCCUACAUUUAUAGUAUCAUUGCUUUUAGCCUG